rnacentral:rRNA from 1 species
GAUGAACGCUGGCGGCGUGCUUAAUACAUGCAAGUCGAACGGAGAGUUAGCAAUAGCUCUUAGUGGCGAACGGGUGAGUAACGCGUUGGUGACCUGUCCCGAAGAUGGGGAUAACUGUUCGAAAGGACUGCUAAUACCCGAUGUGGUUGCCAGAGUUAGAGGUCUGGAAACUGAAGGAGUAAUCCGCUUUGGGAGGGGCCUGCGUCCCAUCAGCUAGUUGGUAGGGUAAAAGCCUACCAAGGCGAAGACGGGUAGGGGACCUGAGAGGGUGACCCCCCACACUGGCACUGAAACACUGGCCAGACACCUACGGGUGGCAGCAGUAGGGAAUAUUGCACAAUGGGCGAAAGCCUGAUGCAUCAACCCCGCGUGCGCGAUGAAGGCCUUCGGGUCAUAAAGCGCUUUUUGGGGAGAUGAGGAAGGACAGUAUCCCCGGAAUAAGCCUCGGCUAACUACGUGCCAGCAGCCGCGGUAAAACGUAGGAGCCAAGCGUUAUCCGAAUUCACUGGGCGUAAAGCGUCGCAGGCGGACCAGUAAGUUUGAUGUGAAAUCUCCCGGCUCAACUGGGAGAGGCCGUUGAAUACUGCGGGUCUCGAGGGCUACAGAGGGAGGUGGAAUUCCCGGUGUAGUGGUGAAAUGCGUAGAUAUCGGGAGGAACACCAGUGGCGAAAGCGGCUUCCUGGGUUGCCCCUGACGCUCAGACACGAAAGCUAGGGGAGCGAACGGGAUUAGAAACCCCGGUAGUCCUAGCCGUAAACGAUGUAGACUUGGUGUUGGAGGGGUAAAAGCCUUCAGUGCCGGAGCAAACGCGAUAAGUCCACCGCCUGGGGACUACGGCCGCAAGGUUA